CAGGGCCUCCAGGACUACCUGGAGAUGACGGACCAAUUGGGCCACCUGGAAUUACUGGGAAGCAAGGUCGAAAAGGAGUUCAAGGAAAAAUCGGCAGUCCUGGACCACAAGGUAUGCCGGGUCCCCAGGGCCGACCAGGAAGAGACGGGACCCCAGGACAGUACCCUGAUCCAGGCCCUCCAGGCUUACCUGGAGA